UGAUUUUGGAGAGGCUUUGAAACC
rnacentral:siRNA from 1 species